rnacentral:rRNA from 1 species
AACGAACGCUGGUGGCGUGUUUUAUACAUGCAAGUCGAGCGAGGACGGUAGCAAUACCGAGCCGAGCGGCGAACGGGUGAGUAACGCGUAAGCAAUCUGCCCCACAAUCGGGAACAACCGUGCCAACGCGCGGCUAAUGCCGGAUAUUGUAGUCUACUGCAUAGUAGGCCAACGAAAGAUUUAUUGUUGUGGGAUGAGCUUGCGUCCGAUUAGCUAGUUGGCGGGGUAAUAGCCCACCAAGGCGACGAUCGGUAGCCGGCCUGAGAGGGUGAUCGGCCACAUUGGGACUGAGAUACGGCCCAGACUCCUACGGGAGGCAGCAGUAGGGAAUAUUGCGCAAUGGGGGGAACCCUGACGCAGCAACGCCACGUGUGGGAAGAAGCAUUUCGGGUGUAAACCACUGUCGGAAAGGAAUAACGGAAGACUUCGGUCUUUAUGAAAUGUACUUUUAGAGGAAGCACCGGCAAACUUCGUG